rnacentral:rRNA from 1 species
UACAUAGGGGGCAAGCGUUGUCCGGAAUCAUUGGGCGUAAAGAGCGUGUAGGCGGUUCGGUAAGUCUGUCGUGAAAUCCUGAGGCUCAACCUCGGGCGUGCGAUGGAUACUGCCGGGCUAGAGGAUGGUAGAGGCGAGUGGAAUUCCCGGUGUAGCGGUGAAAUGCGCAGAUAUCAGGAAGAACACCCGUGGCGAAGGCGGCUCUCUGGGACGGUACUGACGCUGAGACGCGAAAGCGUGGGGAGCGAACAGG